rnacentral:rRNA from 1 species
GACGAACGCUGGCGGCGUGCUUAACACAUGCAAGUCGAACGGAAAGGCCCUGCUUUUGUGGGGUGCUCGAGUGGCGAACGGGUGAGUAACACGUGAGUAACCUGCCCUUGACUUUGGGAUAACUUCAGGAAACUGGGGCUAAUACCGGAUAGGAGCUCCUGCUGCAUGGUGGGGGUUGGAAAGUUUCGGCGGUCGGGGAUGGACUCGCGGCUUAUCAGCUUGUUGGUGGGGUAGUGGCUUACCAAGGCUUUGACGGGUAGCCGGCCUGAGAGGGUGACCGGCCACAUUGGGACUGAGAUACGGCCCAGACUCCUACGGGAGGCAGCAGUGGGGAAUAUUGCACAAUGGGCGGAAGCCUGAUGCAGCAACGCCGCGUGCGGGAUGACGGCCUUCGGGUUGUAAACCGCCUUCGCCUGUGACGAAGCGUGAGUGACGGUAAUGGGUAAAGAAGCACCGGCUAACUACGUG